rnacentral:rRNA from 1 species
GAUUAACGCUAGCGGCAGGCUUAACACAUGCAAGUCGAGGGGUAGAGGCUUUCGGGCCUUGAGACCGGCGCACGGGUGCGUAACGCGUAUGCAAUCUGCCUUUCACAGAGGGAUAGCCCAGAGAAAUUUGGAUUAAUACCUCAUAGCAUAAUCAGACCACAUGGUUUAAUUAUUAAAGUCACAACGGUGAAAGAUGAGCAUGCGUCCCAUUAGCUAGUUGGUAAGGUAACGGCUUACCAAGGCUACGAUGGGUAGGGGUCCUGAGAGGGAGAUCCCCCACACUGGUACUGAGACACGGACCAGACUCCUACGGGAGGCAGCAGUGAGGAAUAUUGGUCAAUGGGCGCAAGCCUGAGCCAGCCAUGCCGCGUGCAGGAUGACGGUCCUAUGGAUUGUAAACUGCUUUUGUACGGGAAGAAACACUCCCUCGUGAGGGAGCUUGACGGUACCGUAAGAAUAAGGAUCGGCUAACUCCGUGCCAGCCGCCGCCGUAA